rnacentral:rRNA from 1 species
UACGAAGGGUGCAAGCGUUACUCGGAAUUACUGGGCGUAAAGCGUGCGUAGGUGGUUCGUUAAGUCUGAUGUGAAAGCCCUGGGCUCAACCUGGGAAUGGCAUUGGAUACUGGCGACCUAGAGUGCGGUAGAGGGGUGUGGAACUCCCGGUGUAGCAGUGAAAUGCGUAGAUAUCGGGAGGAACAUCUGUGGCGAAGGCGACACCCUGGACCAGCACCGACACUGAGGCACGAAAGCGUGGGGAGCAAACAGG